rnacentral:lncRNA from 1 species
ACAGAAGACGUGUGAAACGAGCUGUUACAAAAGGACGCUAAGGAGUUUUCUACUGCCCCUCCUAUCUCCUGUCAUAGAUUCAGUUUUCCAGGAAGUCAGCAUACAGUGAGCCAACAGCUAUCCUGUCUCCUCCGAGAAAAAGCAAAUUGGUUUCCAUCGCUACCUGGCCCGCAGAAUCAGUUUACAGGAUGGUUUGCCAUUUCUGCUAAAAGGGGACUCCAUACUGUAAACUG